UACUACUCACUCCCUACUAUUAAUUGAUAGCUGCUUGUUAUACCGAUAGCUACCUGUUUCUUGACUGUUUAAAGUUACCGCUUCACUAGUUAUGCCGAACAGGACCAUAGUGUGACUACUGACUAGCACGUUAUGUUACUCUGUACUCCGUAAUUGAAUUGUGGUUGCAUAAACAAGCAUUUUUUGUACCAAAUGUCCAAAGUAAACCACUAGUUCGACAGUUCUCAUCAAAGGCGGCAAAUCAGCAACAAAAGAGGAAUUAGGGUUUAUAGAAGGUGUAAUGUCGACGAAUCCUUCAAAUUCCAAGUUCUUGAUUCCUCUCCAUUUCUACAUUGCAAUGUUCAUCUUUUCAAAGAUAUGAUUGAUCUGCUGUUGGUGGCACAACAUGACAACAAGUGCAUUCUAUGCAUUUAAUUAUGGUGGUGCAGUUCCAGCCUUGGCUCAACUUGGGUUUUUAUCAUAUAAUGUCGGUCUUCAUCAUAUAAUGCCACGAGUUGUUUUCAUCACAUUCU